GUUGUUGUUUUGAUUUUCAAAUAGGAACCUGCUCCUAUGGAGCAGUUAACCAUGGUGUACUGAAGGCCUUCAAUCCACUCAGGGCUCUGGAGGCGGGUACCAUCUGGAGCCGUAUCUUCAAGUCAGCAACUCUGUCUGCCUGCUGUCUCCAGUCUUCCAUGUGGCCCCAUCCUAAUGAGUGGGCCGUGCCAAGCUGCGUGUGGAACUGCUGUCCCGCGGUGCUGACACCACCUCCCAUUCAUUCAUGCAGCAUGCCUCAGCCAGCCAGAACCGGGACAUUUGGUCCAUACCCUUGGUCAUCUUGGGAGUUGAUUCUGACUACUGGCUGGUGCUAAGAGAGGAAGCAAAAUGUCUCCUUCAUGACAGGACAUAAGACAACAGUAUUUGCACCACUUUUUGCCUCAGAGAAAGACUAAAUGCGUCAUAUCUUCCUGACAGGCCGGCUCCUGACUGCCUUGACCGAUCCCACCCCACAGAAGUGACGCUGGAGUUUCCUUUUCUUGCCAGAGUCUUCUCUGCUGUGUCCUUCAAAGCCAUUACAUAGUCAGGAAGCCUGAAGCCU